CCUACGGGAGGCAGCAGUGAGGAAUAUUGGUCAAUGGGCGCGAGCCUGAACCAGCCAAGUAGCGUGAAGGAUGACUGCCCUACGGGUUGUAAGCUUCUUUUAUAAAGGAAUAAAGUGAGGCACGUGUGCCUUUUUGUAUGUACUUUAUGAAUAAGGAUCGGCUAACUCAGUGCCAGCAGACGCGGUACUACGGAGGAUACGAGCGUUAUCCGGAUUUAUUGGGUUUAACGGGAGCGUAGAUGGGUUGUUAAGUCAGUUGUGAACGUUUGCGGCUCAACCGUAAAAUUGCAAUUGAUACUGGCAGUCUUGAGUACAGUAGAGGGAGGCGGAAUUCGUGGUGUAGCGGUGAAAUGCUUAGAUAGCAUGAAGAACUCCGAUUGCGAAGGCAGCUUACUAAACUGCCACUGACAUUGAUGCUCGAAAGUGUGGGUAUCAAACAGGAUUAGAUACCCUUGUAGUC
rnacentral:rRNA from 1 species